CUUAUUUUACACCCUUGCCUGAUUGAUUCAACAAGUCAAUUAAAGAUGUAUUCUUAUUUCAUAAAGGCAACACAUCAUAGACCAUAUUAUUACAUGCAUUAAUUGUGAUGGGGAUAGUUGAAUGAUCAAUUGAGUCAAAAAGUAUCUGCCACCUAUAUUUGACUGGGGGUGCAUAAACCCUUGUUCUAACACAUGAAAGAAAUUACAUUUACAAUUACAAAAAAAAAAAUUAAGAACAUCCAAUCCUUUAACAUCAAUCCAGUUGUAUUCACUUCAGUUAGUAUCUAAAUUGUCCAUCUUGAAAUAUUUUGUGCUUGUAUUUGUCAGCUUUGGCUUUCCAUGUUCCACAUUCGAAAUUCAUAGAAUUUCUGUGAAUUCAUAAAAUUCAUAGAACAUAGAAUAUGUGAGUCGUCAUUGUGACAAUGUGAAUGACUAGAAAAAAGAAGGCUUAGAGAGAACAUGGUAACUGUCUUCAGGCACUUAGAAGAGUUUCAUGUAGAAGAGGGAUUAGACUUGUUUAACUUGGCCCCAGAGAGAAGAAGUAGGGGCAAUGAAGAGACAUUACAAAGUUUGUUUAGGUCUAUAUAAAAUGUUCCUACGGAAUAAAACAGUCCAAAAGUGACAUGGGCUUCUACCAGAGGCAGUGAUUUAUCAGUCACUGGAGCCUGGAUGGUUAUCUGUGAGCUCUGUACAAGGGUUUCCUAUGCAAGUAUAAAUGGAGUACUCAUAUCUCUUCUAGAGUGUGGAUAUUUGCUCAUUCUGCAAUCUUGCAAAAGUACCAUAGAUAGAUCAUUGAAUGCCAAGCAUUAUCUAACACAGGACAAUCAAACGUAUCUGUGAAUAACGGUCACUGAUCUGCGCUGCUGGAAAGACAGACCCAGAGGAAGUAUUUGUUCCUGAGUCGGGGAAGAGAAUUUUGCAGCUGGGAAAUAAGGAACUCUCUGGUUGAAUGAGGGGAAAAUGGAUUUCUUCAGAACAAUCAUCAAUAGUGUUUAUGAUGAGGGUAAGCAAAAAGACCUCGAUGAAGAUGAAGAUUUCCUCUUGUUGCCAACAUCUGUUACAAAGGAUAAAGAAAUGGUAAAUUUGAAAAUCAGCAUAUACUUUGUCGAACUGCUACAAAUGGAAACUAGUGAUGGUUGUGGGGGAGGAAGAAGAGACUGA
rnacentral:lncRNA from 1 species